rnacentral:lncRNA from 1 species
UCUCGUUUUUUCCAGUGGACGAGUCUAUUACGUUUUUGACGCGUGUGUUGAAAAUUAUUUUCUUACCACGCUUUUACAUUUAUUUCUUUAUCAGUUUUCGUUCUUGAAGAUCAUUAUUCACCAAGUUUUAUGGAAUUGAUUAAGAGCUAUGUGAAUUUGUCUUCUUUUAUGAAAUUUAAUUACGUCUUUGUCCGUGCACCCCCUUUUUACGGGAAAUUAUUAGGCGAUGUCAUGCAAUUUUUAUUACAACUGAGCAAUAAUAUUUCAUUAAACUAAAAUUUAAGAAAUGAUGACAAAAUAGGAUAACAAACAUAUUAUUAGAAAGGUGAAAUAUAUAUUUAUUUUGCAUAUCAGUCUUCUGUCUUGAAAGAUAUUAUUUUAUUUUUUUCCCGACCGACCGACCCGACUUUUUCUUGGAGAAAAUCCGUAAACCAACAAAUUAAAAAACCGUGGCCUAAAUGGCAAAAAUACUGAAAUAUAAGGAAUGGAGAAUGAAAGGCAAAAAAUGAAAAGAAAAAAAAGAGAAAAUGAUCUUGUAAAUUAAGGAAACUGAAAUGAAGACCCACAACCCCCCAACCCCACCCCCAAUCAGACCUUCUUAUUUUUAUGUUUAAAACUACCAGAAAACUCCUAUAUUAUGUUGAUAUUGCAUUUAGUAAUACUGACCAGAAUGAAUUGAUUUAAUUUGUUUGCUCAGAAAAAGUGCUACUGUAAGCUGGAUGAAGUAUAAGAACAUUUCCAGACAUAAAAUUACCUCAUAUAUGAAUAUUAAAAAUGACACAAAUAUAGUUUUGAGGCCCUUUUUAAAACUUACCAAUGUGUAUUGCAUUGAAAGUAUUAAGUUUGUAUGAUUCUCAAACACAAUCACAUUUCCACACUUCUCCCGCUAUUACAAGAGCAUGAGAAUUUUGGAUUAGUUAAAAUGAUGCCAAAUCACAUUGAAAUGCUCCAAAAUAAAUUGGGUUACUUUCAAUUUGAAACAUAUUCUAAGUUUUAUUUUGUUCAUAGAUCCCUGUUUCUGAUGAAAAAAUAGUUUUGAAGCAUAAUUUUUAAUAUGGCUCCUGGCUGUCAUCUGUUGUCAUGACAGAUGGUUGUCCUGGUAAUUGUUAAAACGGCUGCUUGUUGUAAUUGUAUUUGUUAUAUUUUUGAUAGAUGUAGAUUUGUUGUGUUUAUAAAUGUUUGUAAAUUUAAUAUAUUGUUUUAUUUUGAUAAAAAAAAUUGUUACUGUAUCACUAUUUUAAAAGAAUAUAAGUAUACAUAAAAUUAUAAUCUGCAGUGGUUAGCAAAGUUAAAUAUGAUUUAUAAUGUCUCAAUAAGAAAUAUCCAAAGUAUAGGCUAGUGAAAUCACACAAAAGGUCAAGGAAAUUAAUGGGAUUUUUGGAUAGUCAGUCUGAAAAAUAGGGUGGUUUAUCUGCAUAUUUUUUUCCAUUUUUGUGUGGGGUAGGAGUGUAGUAAACGAAGGUGAUGGGCAGAAGUUGACAGUUUAUUUGACAGUAACUACAAUUUGAAUAUGUCUCAUUCUAAUCUUACCAAUUGAUCUGGCAAAAAUCUUAAAAUGGCGUUCAUUGAUCUCUCAGAUUAAUAUUCCAGAUAUUCUCAUUUUGAACAGAAUUAUUAUAUUUUUGAAAGGUCACAUGUGUUCAUUACGAUGAACCAUUUCUAAGCUUUACUUGUUGACUAUUUGACAAAGAGACAACCAAAGACACAUUUAUGUGUAUAAUCAUGUCAUAAUACUGGUGUUAGAAUUUUAUUUAAUUAUGAUACAGCUCAAAUAUUCAUGAACACCACAAAUUCUAUAAUGUUGUGUUUCCUGAUAAAUAGAAAUCUUCUUCAUCAAACUAAUCAGCAUUUUCUUUAAUUGUGAAGUAUUACCCAAAUUCAAAAACUUUUAAUUUAAAAAUAUUUUAGUAGUGUUUAAUACAAACUCAUCAGCAUUUUUUUUUAAUUGUUUUCAAAGAAAUACUAAGUAUUACCUAAAUUAAAAAAAACUUUAAUUUAAAAAUUCAUUUUAGUAGUGUUUUUGCUAUUGAAUUUUGUCCAAAUGUAGUAGUAACUAGUUUGUUUGGAGCUGGCCUCCAAGUUAGUUAUCAAAGGGAAAUAACUCUAGAUAAUUUGUAACUUUUACAUUCCAUUGUUAAAAAUCCAUGACUCAAGAAAUGUUACAUUUAUAUAUUUACAUUUCAUAGUAAGCAAGCUUAAUGUGAAUUGUAAGGAAAUUAGAUUUAUUAUUAUAGUGAAAAUGUAUGUCAUGGGAAAGACUUUUCAUUCCAUGAAAAAUGUAAAAUGGCAAAAACUAUUCCUUUGUAUGCAUUAUUUAAUACCAGCUGUGCUCAUUUUAUAUUAUGCUGUUAUUUUUUUUAAAUAAUUAUUGCAUUAUCAUAUAUGAUAUGAUCCCUGCUAAAAUAGAAAUUUACUAAUCGGCUUGUUAUUUUCAUUAAAAGAGUUAGAAUUUUAUCUAUUGAUUACUAUAGAAUUUAUAUGAAAACUCGGUUCUUCUUAUCUAAAAUCACUCAUAAUUUUAACCUGUCUCAAAAAAGCAACCCAACAUAUACAACAAACAAAUUACACAUUAUAUUAAUUUCAUGGAUUUUAAAAAAAAUUGAUGACAUACUUUGCUAUGAUUCAAUAGAAGAUAUGACAAUGUUGAAAAUUUGGCUUUGCAUGUAGGUCUAGUGCAAUGCAGUUUCAUAUUCAUACCUCAAUAACAUACUUUUUUCACAUAUAUAUGGUGGGUUUUUUUCCCUUAAAUUUCAAAUUGUUAACAUAAACAAAAAAUUAGUGAUAGAGAAAAUUUAGAAUGAAUACAGUUAGUUGAUGAGAAAACUGUUUAACUUUUUUUUAUGCAACUUGUAAAAGAUUAAAACAUUCAUAUUUUAAGUAGCAUAAUUGUAUUUUUUUUACAUCCAUUUGUACAAUAUCAUUCCAUUUGAGAAUUGCUUGUUUGAUGUUGAAGAUAUGCAGGGAGACAAAUACAAGUAGGUUUUUAUUAGUAUCAUAGGUUAACUUUACUUUGAUAAAAAAAGUUCUAAAAGUUUGAAUGUUUGAAUUGACAAACUUCAGAAACAGAUUCAAAUAAGUUUAAGAUAGUCUUAGACAUGAUCAUGAAAUUCAGAUUAUAAUGCAGAUUAUCUAGCAGGGAUGAUGUUAAUAAAACAUUUAGGAAUUAAUUGUCUUUUUUUAGCAAUAUUCAACCAUUGUCAAAGAUUGCAAUGUACAAGUUAGAUAGGAAUUUUUGUUUAUCAUUUUAUUAAAUCAGGUUUAUAAUAAAUGAUGAUUUUUAUCAUCAUAAUGAGUCAAAGCUUCAAAUUUGAAAAUAAAUUUUAAAAAUAUGCAAAGCUUGUAACCCAGUACUAAAAUCUAUAUUAUUUGCAUUAGUCUAGUCUUCCUGCAUACAUUUCAACAUUGUCACAAGAUUUUUUACUUCCAUUAUAUCAUGUGAUUAAAUUUGUAGAAUAAAAAACUAAUGAUUGAAAAUUUAAUUUAAUUUAACACAGGGUAUAUAUGCAAUCAAUACUUAAUUACUAGUAUGCAAUAGUGGAAAUCUAGUGUAAUAAUACAUUCAAUAUUGUGUAUCAGUGUGCUACACUUUGUACUAGUGUACUACAUUGUGCCUCAAUUAAUUACAUUGUUUAUAAGUGUAUUACAAUGUGUAUUAUUGUAAUACAUGUGUGACAUUCAAUAUAUUUGUGUACGGUACUACAUUGUCAUCAGUUAAUUAUAUUGUAUAUAAUUGAUUAAUUCACUAGCACUAUAUAAUUAGUCUAUGCCUUUGACAUAACAGGUGUAAACAUAUUGUAACUUAACUUGACAUAAUUGUGAUUUUUAUUUUGCAUUCCAAAAAUGAUAAAGUUAUUUGAUUUUGAUUAAGAAUUUUUCAUCUGAACUGGUACUCAUUAAUCUUAAAAUGAUACAUGUGUCUUCACUCAGUACACAAGUUUUAAUGUUGAAUAGUUGGCCAAAUCUGGAUUAGGUUAAUUACCUACAAGACUGACACUGAAAACAUUUAGUUGUUAAUUUAGUGCAUGCAUUUACAAAUUUUGUAAAAGAAUCUAUUUUUGUCAUUGAUUACAAGAAUUUAGUAUGAUUUCAUAUCAAUGACACAUUAUUUAGCUAUCAAUACGUCAGAAUUCUGUGUACAAUUGAGAAACCUUUCUUAGAAUUUACCAUAUUUAGACUUUCAAAUGACAAUAUUGUGUGGGAUGGAAAAUCAAGAUAUUUUUCAUGGAGAGAAUGCAUUUGUAGGUAUUGAUUUGUAAGUAUUAAAAGGAAUAUAGAAAUCCUCUUAGAUAACCGACUGUCUCAAAAGUAGACUGUUAGAAAUAGUUAACUUACAGUAAUUUAUUCUAUUAUAACGAAGAAUAGUCGACUUGUAUUUGCACGAUGGAGUUUUGUCACGUUCUGUUUCUUACAUUGAUAACAUUAUUGUGUAGUUUAAUGUAGACGGUAUUCUCAAUUCAGACAUGAUUUAUUACUCAUUCCAAAAGUGAAGAGAUCACAGAUACGGUGAAGAAUAGAACUCAUUUAAUAAGAAAAUUCUCAAUAUGACAUUUAGGUUUGUUGUAAAUAUUGCCAAUAUGAAUGAAAAUACUGGUAACAAUGAUAAUAAUAGAUAUACAGUUGUAUAGGUUAUUAGUUAAAUUCAACUACUAGGAAUGUACUGUGUUGUGACUUGUCCUUGCCUUUUACACUAAUGUUUGUACACAAGUAAGAUUAUGUGAAAGACUGAAUAGAAACAAAUAUUUCAGCAUUUUACAAACAGCUAUGGCACUGAAAUAUUUUGCAUUGCAUUCCAAAUAUAUGUAGUAUGAAUUAUCUAUAUUUUAUAUAAGGAUUGACAUUAUAAUAUUAUUAAUUGAAGUUUUGACAUUAUAAUAUUAUUAAUUGAAGUUUUGACAUUAUAAUAUUAUUAAUUGAAGUUUUGGCCAGUUCCGUAGACAAUGAUAUAUUGUGAGUAUUUCUACAGCUUACACUCAAUGCGUUAAAAGUCAGCUUAUAUUCAUUCCAUGAUGCCUCAAUCUUGAUUUUAUUCAAGGUAAAUAAAUUGUAAAAUUAUGUUCACUUGCAGUCAUUUUAACCUGAUAGAAGAUUUCUUGUACGUGGUUAAUGUAUACAAUGUAACUUUUGUUAAAUUCUUUUCAAAUUAUAUGCAUCCCUGUUAUAUUUUGAUGGCAAAAUAUUAUACAUCUUUGCUAAAUUUGUUAAAUAUUUAUUGCUUAACAUCUUUUAAAGAAAUGUACUUUGUUUUGCUGUCUGAAAAUGCUAAAAUGCAAAUAAUGUGAAAAAGUUCAUUGUCAAUUAUUAAAUAACUAUGUACAUGUACUAAUAUGACCUGUUUUAUGGGUUGAUUGGUAGAGGUUAUACUGCCUUUUUUUGUUUCAAAAAUGUUCCUUUAUUGAAUGAGAGUGAAAUAGCGAGAAAUAUAUCUAUGAAAAAUGCUUAUAGUUUUCCAAAUUUUUACUGUAUUUACAUUGUUAACAGCUUUGAUUCCAUUUAUAUAUUUUUUUCAAGAAGUACCAAAUAAUACAUUUUUUGUUUGUUUUCUGUGAUUGUCUUGAAUAAUUUUCAAUUUUUCUUAUAAUUUAUACAUAACAAACUCAUUUUUUUGUUAAGAUAAUCUAUCUUUAUAUUGUAUAUAUUUCAAAUAAAUCGUGCUUAUUCACUUAGAACUUUUGUUGUGUUUACCCUAUGAAUUGCCUUGUCCAUCUGCCCACCAGAAACUGUACAACUCCAUUAUUAUUGUAGUAAUUAUAA